UCAAUUUUUGUACGGUGCAAAUCCGCUGACCACAUUUGAACGGUAGCGCAGUACUGAACAGAACUAGCGAUGAACCUGGAAUCAAGAUGUCGGUAAAGAGUGUCACAAGGACGGCUCCGGUGGUGAGGAACCCCAGCACUAGGGCAAGGUAGCCGUAGGCCAGGACAAACAUGCCAGCCCACAGUGUUUGUGCCACGACGACAACAAUCAUGCAGCAUCCUGGGCACGUUCUGCCACUGGGCUUAUCAUACAGGCAGCUCUGUCUCCGUUGCCACAGCAAAGAUGCCAGAGACAGCACAAAGGGGAGGUACCCGAUGAGCAU